rnacentral:misc_RNA from 1 species
GUUGAGCUCUUGAUAAACUCUGCGAGCAAAUUCAUCAAUAAGAGCAACAAUGUCACUCGAAAUUAUGUCAACAUAUUUAUUAAUCAGUAUGCCUACUCCCCUUAUUAGGUAGAAGUCUAAUCCUAUUGCUUCUUCAAUACCUGGCCGUUGCACCUUCACAGCAACGACCUGGCCCGAGUACUUCAGUUGAGCUUUAUAAACUUGACCAAGACUGGCUGCAGCAAUAGGCGAUGGAGAUAUAGAUGAGUAGAUAGUUUCAAGCGGACGACCCAACUCUCUCUCAAUGCAUGAAAAUGCUUGUGCAUCUGGAAAUGUUGGCAAAGCAUCCUGCAGCUCCGAGAGCUCCUCAAGGUACUCGGGUGGGCAUAAAUCAGGCCUAGUGGAUAAACCCUGACCAAUUUUAACAAAUGUAGGCCCCAAUCUGGUGAAAGUCUGCCUAAGUUCAAUGGCACGCAAUCUCAUUUUCCGAUCAAGCUCCCCGUUCAACUGGUCAAGCCAUACUUUUAGGGCGAAUGAACCAAGUCCAUUGAAUAUUUGAAGAGCUCUUCUCAGUACCUUAAUUGGGCGAGUGCCAUACUUGCUGGAUAACAUAUCAGGGCUAUAAACAGAAGCAUCCACAGCACGUGUCAUAGCUCUGGCUUCAGAUUGCAUAUCGUCGGCUCGAUCUCUGCUAGAUGGACCAACUUGAAGGGUUCGCCCAGUAACAUUACUGUUCCCGGCUACAUCUCUAAUUGCUGGUACUAGUUGAGGCCUCGCCUCCACCUGAGCUGCUCGAGGAAGAUUUAGUCUUAACUUAACUCUCCGUCCGCCGGAGCUAUUAGCUCCUGAAAGCCGAACCGCAUCGGCGCAGGAAGGCAGCAUAACAUGAUGAUUGGCCGUGAAUGAUGCCACGGAAGAACUCAUCCUGACAGACGCUGCCGGUGGAGAAACUUACGGAAAGGGUAGGAAGUACAGGUGGAGCAACA